rnacentral:rRNA from 1 species
AGCGUUGUUCGGAAUUACUGGGCGUAAAGGGCGCGUAGGCGGUGUGUCAAGUCAGGCGUGAAAGCCCCGGGCUCAACCUGGGAACCGCGCUUGAGACUGGCACGCUCGAGUUCGGGAGAGGAUGGUGGAAUUCCCAGUGUAGAGGUGAAAUUCGUAGAUAUUGGGAAGAACACCGAUGGCGAAGGCAGCCAUCUGGACCGACACUGACGCUGAGGCGCGAAAGCGUGGGGAGCAAACAGG